UACGGGGGGGGCAAGCGUUGUUCGGAAUUACUGGGCGUAAAGGGCGCGUAGGCGGCCAACUAAGUCACACGUGAAAUCCCCAGGCUUAACUUGGGAACUGCGUGUGAUACUGGAUGGCUUGAAUUCGGGAGAGGGAUGCAGAAUUCCAGGUGUAGCGGUGAAAUGCGUAGAUAUCUGGAGGAAUACCGGUGGCGAAGGCGGCAUCCUGGACCGACAUUGACGCUGAGGCGCGAAAGCUAGGGGAGCAAACAGG
rnacentral:rRNA from 1 species